CCAUAACAUGAUCUCACCUUCAUUAUUGCUCCAGCUAUGUUAACUUUGGCUUUUAUUAAAUAUUGCUGCUGCUAUGAAACAUGUCAGCUACUCCAUUGGCUCUCAGCACACAGUGUGCACAUUGUUAAAACAGCAUGAUACUGAUCGACUCCAACCAUGUCAGCUACUCCUGACUAUUAGUGCUCAGCACACAGUGUACACAGGAUUAAAGUAGCAGGAUCUGGAUUAUUACCUUUGUAGCUGGCAAUAUGAUUAAUCUGCAGUGGUAAUAUGGAGCCAAGAAGUAGCUGGCAUGGGUAACAGAAACAACAAUCAUUACAGAUGAAAACAGGUUG